CCCAGUUCAUUAGCUACAGUUCUGAACCAAGUUAUGCAGUGCAAGAAAAACAGGGGAACUAUUCAGUGGCAUGUGUAAUGGCACUAAAUAUCUGUUUCAAUGAUUAAUUACAGGUCUGAAAAUGGAGUCACAGGAAUCAGUUGAUGCAGGUGACAGAGCUAAGUGCCUGUGCUUUUAACAAACGAACAGAAGUGGAUGGCGGCUGAACAGAAAGCUUCCUGUUCAAAUGGAUUGACGUGUAAUCAUUUUACAAAACGAUGAUUCCCAAGAAUGUUAGGACUAAAAUCCCAGCACAAUGGCCAACUCAUCCAUUCGAUAGCCAAUCCUUUUGGCAAUCAACUCAAAGCAACUUUGCAAAAAUAACAGUUAGCAUGAGAACUCAAUGCUUGUGUUUUUGUUCAUGUUUGCUUACCUUCCCUGGCAUCUACCUAAUUACCUGCUCCACCUGUCACAGCAAUGGGCCGUUCACUUUGGUAUCUUCCGAGACCCUUAACUGGCCAAUCCUACCUCCUUUGCUAUUUGUCCAAAUGUCAGUUCAGUGGUGUGCCAUUAGCAGAUUUACACUGUGUGUCAUGACCACAAUGAAAUGAACUCAGUUCAUGCCACACGGGGCCAUGGAGCAGAGGCACAUAAAUCCUGGACUAGACAAGGCGACACAAUAAUAUCUGACUCACCACAUUAGCGCCUUCUGAUCUGUCAGCAAUUUCAAUCUAGAUUAUGCUCAUUAAGGAGGGACUAUUUUACGGAAGAAAACUGGUGAGAUUGACUGAGGAGAACAAAGAUUGUACAAAGGAAUUGAAUGCAAGGAGAGACAAAGAACCAGAAAGGGAUAAAAACUCAAUCAUAAAAGACACCAGCAAAGAUGAAAAUUAGGGAACAGCACAAAGAGUCAGAUUAAAAGAAGCCUCAAGACAAAUAAAUCAAGUUCAUUCGCAAC